rnacentral:lncRNA from 1 species
CUACUCAUCACAAAAGGACCUCCCAUGAUGGCCUGAAAAAAGACAGGAAGAGGGGCUCAGAAGAUGGCUGAUCAGACAGCUGUGUGAGCCUCACAGCCAUGGCACCCUCCCCAGAGGUUUCUGCAGCUGCCACCACCUCCUUAAUGACAGACAAGCUUGGCCUAGACAACCUCGCCUGUGUGCCUGGCAGAGGACAGUCAGCCAGCAAUCAGCCCAGGGAACUCUGUCUGGCCAGAGCAACCAAACUAGGACACAGCCCUUUGAGCAAUCCAGCAACUCGUACAACCACGUAGGAAAGCUGUCCGGCAGCAUCGGUCAUCACAGAACAAUUAGAAGCAAAUCUUUCCAAAAAUAAUCGAGCUUUGAGUGUUCUUCGAAGGAUAAAGAGUGGGAGUGUAGUCGCCAACCGAGCUAACCAGGGCAAGGAAAAUUCUGAAAACAUCACCACCCCUGAAGUCUUUCCAAGGUUGUACCACCUGAUCCCAGAUGGUGAAAUUACCAGCAUCAAGAUCAAUCAAGUGGAUCCCAGUGAAAGCCUCUCCAUUAUGCUGAUGGGAGGCAGUGAAACCCCACUGGUCCGUAUCAUCCAACACAUUUAUCAUGAUGGGGCAAAUGCCAGAGAUGACCAGCUACUACCAGGAGACAUCAUCCUAAAUGUCAAUGGGAUGGACAUUAGCAAAGUCUCUCACAACUACGCUCUGCAUCUCCUGCGGCAGCCCUACCAGGUGUUGUGACUGACCAUGCUGCACAACCAGAAGUUCUGCAGCAGGAACAGUGGACAGGCCCUGGAUGCCUACAGACCCCAGGAUGACAGCUGCCAUGUGAUUUGCAACAAAAGUAGCCCCAAGGAACAGCUUGGAAUAAAAUUGGUGUGCAAGGUGGAUGAGCCUGGGGUGUUUAUCUUCAACGUGCUAGAUGGUAGUGUGGCUGAUUGACAUGGUCAGCUGGAGGAGAAUGAUUGUGUGUUAGCCAUCAAUGGACAUGACCUUCAAUAUGGCAGCCCAGAAAGCGGUGCUUAUCUGAU